GAUCAUUACCGAGUGCGGGUCCUUUGGGCCCAACCUCCCAUCCGUGUCUAUUGUACCCUGUUGCUUCGGCGGGCCCGCCGCUUGUCGGCCGCCGGGGGGGCGCCUCUGCCCCCCGGGCCCGUGCCCGCCGGAGACCCCAACACGAACACUGUCUGAAAGCGUGCAGUCUGAGUUGAUUGAAUGCAAUCAGUUAAAACUUUCAACAAUGGAUCUCUUGGUUCCGGCAUCGAUGAAGAACGCAGCGAAAUGCGAUAACUAAUGUGAAUUGCAGAAUUCAGUGAAUCAUCGAGUCUUUGAACGCACAUUGCGCCCCCUGGUAUUCCGGGGGGCAUGCCUGUCCGAGCGUCAUUGCUGCCCUCAAGCCCGGCUUGUGUGUUGGGUCGCCGUCCCCCUCUCCGGGGGGACGGGCCCGAAAGGCAGCGGCGGCACCGCGUCCGAUCCUCGAGCGUAUGGGGCUUUGUCACAUGCUCUGUAGGAUUGGCCGGCGCCUGCCGACGUUUUCCAACCAUUCUUUCCAGGUUGACCUCGGAUCAGGUAGGGAUACCCGCUGAACUUAAGCAUAUCAAUAAGCGGAGGAAAAGAAACCAACCGGGAUUGCCUCAGUAACGGCGAGUGAAGCGGCAAGAGCUCAAAUUUGAAAGCUGGCUCCUUCGGAGUCCGCAUUGUAAUUUGCAGAGGAUGCUUUGGGUGCGGCCCCCGUCUAAGUGCCCUGGAACGGGCCGUCAGAGAGGGUGAGAAUCCCGUCUUGGGCGGGGUGUCCGUGCCCGUGUAAAGCUCCUUCGACGAGUCGAGUUGUUUGGGAAUGCAGCUCUAAAUGGGUGGUAAAUUUCAUCUAAAGCUAAAUACUGGCCGGAGACCGAUAGCGCACAAGUAGAGUGAUCGAAAGAUGAAAAGCACUUUGAAAAGAGAGUUAAACAGCACGUGAAAUUGUUGAAAGGGAAGCGCUUGCGACCAGACUCGCCCGCGGGGUUCAGCCGGCAUUCGUGCCGGUGUACUUCCCCGUGGGCGGGCCAGCGUCGGUUUGGGCGGCCGGUCAAAGGCCCCUGGAAUGUAGUGCCCUCCGGGGCACCUUAUAGCCAGGGGUGCAAUGCGGCCAGCCUGGACCGAGGAACGC
rnacentral:rRNA from 1 species